CCUGAACCCAAGAUGACUGGUGUCUUUACAGGAAGAGGAGAGACAGACGCAGAGAGGAGACUCCCAUGUGGUAAAGGAGACACAGGGAAUUUGUAUUGGCAGAGGCAGAGAUUGGAAGGAAGCACCGGGGGAGCCAAAGGAAACUAGGAGAGAAGGAAGGAAGGAUUGUCUCCCGAUGCUCCCAGGAAGCCCAGCCCAGACAUCUGCAGUGUAGACACAGACUCCACAACGUGACAGAAUGUGUUUCUAUUGCUGCCAGCUACCCCGUUUGUGACCAUUUGUUACGGCAGCCCCAGGAAAUGAGUGUGGUCUAUUUUUACCUGUAUCUCCAGUCUUCGUCUGGGGAACGAGGCCGACCAAGAAUCACGGUGCUGUUCAUUUCAGACAUGGGAGCAGAAGACAAGAUUUCAGACUCAUACACACUGCGACCCCAUGCCCGACUUCAAAAAAACAGUGAUUCAUCCAGACACCAAAGCUCAGCAGCUCAGAGUCAACCUCAAAUAUAGUCAAAGCUCACCAAGUGCUCCCCCAAGAAAAAUAGAACCUAAGUGCCUGACGACCUUUACCGCAGGUAAAAGAGCGGCUGGACUGUCCUGAUUUCAUCGCACCUACAUUAGCGUGUCAACAGGCCCUCGCAAUUCCCAACGAUCCCACUGGGCUUCUUUAUCAUUGAUUACCUGUCCAGUGCCACACAUUUCUACAAAUGCACUCUCUUUUCUUUACGGCUGCAAUGCAGGACCAUUAAAAUCGGGUGUAGGUGUUCAUUAAAAUCGGGCUGAUU
rnacentral:lncRNA from 1 species